UAUUUAUUAGAUAAAAAACCAAUGCCCUUCGGGGCUCCUUGGUGAAUCAUAAUAACUUAACGAAUCGCAUGGCCUUGCGCCGGCGAUGGUUCAUUCAAAUUUCUGCCCUAUCAACUUUCGAUGGUAGGAUAGUGGCCUACCAUGGUAUCAACGGGUAACGGGGAAUUAGGGUUCGACUCCGGAGAGGGAGCCUGAGAAACGGCUACCACAUCCAAGGAAGGCAGCAGGCGCGCAAAUUACCCAAUCCCGACGCGGGGAGGUAGUGACAAUAAAUACUGAUACAGGGCUCUUUUGGGUCUUGUAAUUGGAAUGAGUACAAUUUAAAUCCCUUAACGAGGAACAAUUGGAGGGCAAGUCUGGUGCCAGCAGCCGCGGUAAUUCCAGCUCCAAUAGCGUAUAUUAAAGUUGUUGCAGUUAAAAAGCUCGUAGUUGAACCUUGGGCCUGGCUGGCCGGUCCGCCUCACCGCGUGUACUGGUCCGGCCGGGCCUUUCCUUCUGGGGAACCUCAUGCCCUUCACUGGGCGUGUUGGGGAACCAGGACUUUUACUUUGAAAAAAUUAGAGUGUUCAAAGCAGG
rnacentral:rRNA from 1 species